GAUGAACGCUGGCGGCGUGCCUAAUACAUGCAAGUCGAGCGAACAGACGAGGAGCUUGCUCCUCUGACGUUAGCGGCGGACGGGUGAGUAACACGUGGAUAACCUACCUAUAAGACUGGGAUAACUUCGGGAAACCGGAGCUAAUACCGGAUAAUAUAUUGAACCGCAUUGUUCAAUAGUGUAAUACGGUUUUUCUUUCACUUAUAGAUGGAUCCGCGCCGCAUUAGCUAGUUGGUAAGGUAACGGCUUACCAAGGCAACGAUGCGUAGCCGACCUGAGAGGGUGAUCGGCCACACGGGAACUGAGACACGGUCCAGACUCCUACGGGAGGAAGCAGUAGGGAAUCUUCCGCAAUGGGCGAAAGCUUGACGGAGCAACGCCGCGUGAGUGAUGAAGGUCUUCGGAUCGUAAAACUCUGUUAUUAGGGAAGAACAAAUGUGUAAGUAACUAUGCACGUCUUGACGGUACCUAAUCAGAAAGCCACGGCUAACUACGUG
rnacentral:rRNA from 1 species